AGCCCUGGGGUGUCACACGUCAGAUUGCAAAUCUGAAGAAGUAGGCUAUCGCCUACCGGGGCUU
rnacentral:tRNA from 2 species